rnacentral:rRNA from 1 species
UUAAGUUAGAAAGGGCGCACGGUGGAUGCCUUGACACUAGGAGUCGAUGAAGGACGGGACUAACGCCGAUAUGCUUCGGGGAGCUGUAAGUAAGCUUUGAUCCGAAGAUUUCCGAAUGGGGAAACCCACCAUACGUAAUGGUAUGGUAUCCUUAUCUGAAUACAUAGGGUAAGGAAGACAGACCCAGGGAACUGAAACAUCUAAGUACCUGGAGGAAGAGAAAGCAAAUGCGAUUUCCUGAGUAGCGGCGAGCGAAACGGAACAUAGCCCAAACCAAGAGGCUUGCCUCUUGGGGUUGUAGGACAUUCUAUACGGAGUUACAAAGGAACGAGGUAGACGAAGCGACCUGGAAAGGUCCGUCGUAGAGGGUAACAACCCCGUAGUCGAAACUUCGUUCUCUCUUGAAUGUAUCCUGAGUACGGCGGAACACGUGAAAUUCCGUCGGAAUCUGGGAGGACCAUCUCCCAAGGCUAAAUACUCCCUAGUGAUCGAUAGUGAACCAGUACCGUGAGGGAAAGGUGAAAAGCACCCCGGAAGGGGAGUGAAAGAGAUCCUGAAACCGUGUGCCUACAAAUAGUCAGAGCCCGUUAACGGGUGAUGGCGUGCCUUUUGUAGAAUGAACCGGCGAGUUACGAUCCCGUGCGAGGUUAAGCUGAAGAGGCGGAGCCGCAGCGAAAGCGAGUCUGAAUAGGGCGUUUAGUACGUGGUCGUAGACCCGAAACCAGGUGAUCUACCCAUGUCCAGGGUGAAGUUCAGGUAACACUGAAUGGAGGCCCGAACCCACGCACGUUGAAAAGUGCGGGGAUGAGGUGUGGGUAGCGGAGAAAUUCCAAUCGAACCUGGAGAUAGCUGGUUCUCCCCGAAAUAGCUUUAGGGCUAGCCUUAAGUGUAAGAGUCUUGGAGGUAGAGCACUGAUUGGACUAGGGGUCCUCAUCGGAUUACCGAAUUCAGUCAAACUCCGAAUGCCAAUGACUUAUCCUUAGGAGUCAGACUGCGAGUGAUAAGAUCCGUAGUCAAAAGGGAAACAGCCCAGACCGCCAGCUAAGGUCCCAAAGUGUGUAUUAAGUGGAAAAGGAUGUGGAGUUGCUUAGACAACUAGGAUGUUGGCUUAGAAGCAGCCACCAUUUAAAGAGUGCGUAAUAGCUCACUAGUCGAGUGACUCUGCGCCGAAAAUGUACCGGGGCUAAAUACACCACCGAAGCUGCGGAUUGAUACCAAUGGUAUCAGUGGUAGGGGAGCGUUCUAAGGACAGUGAAGUCAGACCGGAAGGACUGGUGGAGUGCUUAGAAGUGAGAAUGCCGGUAUGAGUAGCGAAAGACGGGUGAGAAUCCCGUCCACCGAAUGCCUAAGGUUUCCUGAGGAAGGCUCGUCCGCUCAGGGUUAGUCAGGACCUAAGCCGAGGCCGACAGGCGUAGGCGAUGGACAACAGGUUGAUAUUCCUGUACCACCUCUUUAUCGUUUGAGCAAUGGAGGGACGCAGAAGGAUAGAAGAAGCGUGCGAUUGGUUGUGCACGUCCAAGCAGUUAGGCUGAUAAGUAGGCAAAUCCGCUUAUCGUAAAGGCUGAGCUGUGAUGGGGAAGCUCCUUAUGGAGCGAAGUCUUUGAUUCCCCGCUGCCAAGAAAAGCUUCUAGCGAGAUAAAAGGUGCCUGUACCGCAAACCGACACAGGUAGGCGAGGAGAGAAUCCUAAGGUGUGCGAGAGAACUCUGGUUAAGGAACUCGGCAAAAUGACCCCGUAACUUCGGGAGAAGGGGUGCUUUCUUAACGGAAAGCCGCAGUGAAUAGGCCCAAGCGACUGUUUAGCAAAAACACAGCUCUCUGCGAAGCCGUAAGGCGAAGUAUAGGGGGUGACACCUGCCCGGUGCUGGAAGGUUAAGGAGAGGGGUUAGCGUAAGCGAAGCUCUGAACUGAAGCCCCAGUAAACGGCGGCCGUAACUAUAACGGUCCUAAGGUAGCGAAAUUCCUUGUCGGGUAAGUUCCGACCCGCACGAAAGGUGUAACGAUUUGGGCACUGUCUCAACCAGAGACUCGGUGAAAUUAUAGUACCUGUGAAGAUGCAGGUUACCCGCGAC